CAUACUAGAGAGCUCAUCUAUCUAAACAGACUUGUCACAUAUCCUCGACUGAGGGAUGACCAUAGAGACAUACUAGAGAGCUCAUCUAUCUAAACAGGCUUGGUUGAAAUGGCUGAUCCUCUUGUUGUGAUGUUAACAGUAACCAGCUGUAUUUGUCACAGUACUACAGAUUCCUUUAUUAAAAGAUGUGACUCUGUACCACAGUACUACAGAUUCCUUAAUUAAGAUGUGACUCUGUACCACAGUACUACAGAUUCCUUUAAGAUGUGACUCUGUACCACAGUAUUACAGAUUCCUUUAUUAAAAGAUGUGACUCUGUACCACAGUAUUACAGAUUCCUUUAUUAAAAGAUGUGACUCUGUACCACAGUACUACAGAUUCCUUUAAGAUGUGACUCUGUACCACAGUACUACAGAUUCCUUUAAGAUGUGACUCUGUACCACAGUACUACAGAUUCCUUUAAGAUGUGACUCUGUACCACAGUACUACAGAUUCCUUUAAGAUGUGACUCUGCACCACAGUACUACAGAUUCCUUUAAGAUGUGACUCUGUACCACAGUACUACAGAUUCCUUUAAGAUGUGACUCUGCACCACAGUACUACAGAUUCCUUUAAGAUGUGACUCUGUACCACAGUACUACAGAUUCCUUUAAGAUGUGACUCUGCACCACAGUACUACAGAUUCCUUUAAGAUGUGACUCUGCACCACAGUACUACAGAUUCCUUUAAGAUGUGACUCUGCACCACAGUACUACAGAUUCCUUUAAGAUGUGACUCUGCACCACAGUACUACAGAUGGAUCUUAUAUUUUCUUGUAAAUGAAUUGUUGUUGAUCAUUUUGAUCGAGACAUAAAUAUUUUAAGAACUAUUUUAAAUAUAGACUUUAUUUUCCUUUUCUAGGUAAAGUCAAGAUCUAGUUAGCGUUUACUAAUUAAACAACAUCUCUCAUCCAUUUCCUUUCAAAAAGAAAUGAAAGAAUAUCCUUUUUCAGUUUUGUUGUACACCCAUUAUACAUUAUGUAAUGGGGGAAGAAAUCACAAAACUGUUUAUCAAUUAAAAACACUAUUUUAUAUAUCCUGAAUGACACGUAUAUCUAUAGUAAUUCAUUAUAUUGUGGAGAGCAUAUUUUUUAGGAGGGUAACUGGAGUAGCGAGUUGUAGGCUGAAUAGAAACUAUUUAAGAUGCUACAGGUAGCUACAGUAUAGAAAGAGCUCAUACUGCUGAGACAACUCACAACGUCUGGGCGCGGUUACCAGAGAGGAAACUAACCGUGUUGUUGCUUCGCCUCUCUUUAAGACGUAAUGUUUCCCCUGAUCCCGCGUCAUGCUAGCAAGCCAAGGCUUUAUUAGAAACAUGUUGAAUGUGUGUCCUUUGCUGCUUGUGCAUCCGUCCAUCCAUCCACCUGGCACGGGACAGGUCAAAGGGCAUGCUCCACUAGUAGAAUGGAAGCAUGCUGUUUUGACCUCUCACCUUUGACUCUUGACCUCCACUUUGACUGACAGCGUCCACUUUGAGCUGCAUAGGUUAUAACUUCCAUAUGAACCUUGAUAGACAGGACUUAACUAACCCAGAACAACAACCCUACAUUAGUUCGACAUCAACAAACACCCCCCCCAAGAGUAGCAAAAUCAGGAGCACCUUUCUUUUAAAGUCCUCUUCUUAAAAGACUGUUAGUAUAUUAAUACUCAUGAUUAUAAUGAUCAUUAUUAUGCAGAUGUGUCGGAGACAACAUUUCUAGAGGAGAUCACUAUUUUGCACAUAAACCACUAUCUAGUUUGACAAUGACUGCUCUUACAAGAUAAAAGGCGCUGUCUAGAACCUUAAUUAAAGGGUUAUUCGGCUGUCUCCAUAGGAGAACCCUUUUGGGUUCCACGUAGAACUCUUUCAAUGGAGGGUUCUAAAUGGAACCAAAAAAAGGGUUCUGUCUAGAACCAAAGAGUUCUGCUAUGUGGACAGCCGAAUUAACCCCUUGUGGAAGCAUUUUUUCUAAUAAUAUACACAGAGGCGUUGAGAGGAAAGAGUUUUAAGAAGUUAUGUCUGGAUUUAAAAGAGAGCAUGAAUAAUGACUGUCUGAAAUAGCACCCAUUUCCUUUAUAGUGCACUACGUUUGACCACUGAAGGCCACUGGUCUAAAGUAGUGCCCUUAUGUAGGGAAUAGGGUUCCAUUUGACAAGCAGACUAGGACUCGUUUUCAAGAGGCCUCACUGGCCAGUGAGCAGGUGUCAGUUGGUUGAAUCAGACUAGGACUCGUUUUCAAGAGGCCUCACUGGCCAGUGAGCAGGUGUCAGUUGGUUGAAUCAGACUAGGACUCGUUUUCAAGAGGCCUCACUGGCCAGUGAGCAGGUGUCAGUUGGUUGAAUCAGACUAGGACUCGUUUUCAAGAGGCCUCACUGGCCAGUGAGCAGGUGUCAGUUGGUUGAAGCAGACUAGGACUCCUUUUCAAGAGGCCUCACUGGCCAGUGAGCAGGUGUCAGUUGGUUGAAGCAGACUAGGACUCGUUUUCAAGAGGCCUCACUGGCCAGUGAGCAGGUGUCAGUUGGUUGAAGCAGACUAGGACUCCUUUUCAAGAGGCCUCACUGGCCAGUGAGCAGGUGUCAGUUGGUUGAAGCAGACUAGGACUCCUUUUCAAGAGGCCUCACUGGCCAGUGAGCAGGUGUCAGUUGGUUGAAGCAGACUAGGACUCCUUUUCAAGAGGCCUCACUGGCCAGUGAGCAGGUGUCAGUUGGUUGAAGCAUGAACAUUUCUCUCCCUCUGUUUCUUCCAGGUCGGGUUAAGAUAAAUAUUGCACCGUUAUACUGUAGCAUUCCACAGUACGGUUCCAGAUUCCACAUGGAGCAAACACAGUAUUUUGAUAUAAAAUAUUCAGACAUAUUAUAUAAUCACUUUAUUGAGGUUUAACUGUUGUUUAACUGUCUUUUCCAACAUAAGUCGUUUUUCUGGUUUGAUUUGACCUUCGUAAAGCCACGUCGGAGAGAGAUUAUUGUUUACCUGGUAUGGAUAACAGAACACCGAGGAUGAGUAGUUGACUAUUGGUGAUGAAGAGGGGUUUGUGUGACUAUCAAAGUCAUAAAUAGUUUGGGGGGUUGGUUAAUGUUGAGUUAAAGACGUUGUUUUAUUGGUCCGCGUCUCACUUUAAGGCAGUAGUAGAACGUUGUACCCAUCAGGUUUAAACAAGUCUGUAAUACAUUUAAAUACUUCAGUAAUACCCUAAAACCACUUUUUGGCAAAGUCGUCUGUCCUUAUUGCGUUUAUAUGUGAAAGAACUAUUCACGAGAAACAACAAAAGUUAUUUUUUUGUGAUAUUAGUAGUGGCACUACUGUUAAAUGUAGUAUUUUAAGAAGAACAAGCACUAUUUAUGGUCAUUAAAAUGAACUAGAAUGUGUAUUGUGCAUUAUGGUAGCUUUGGAGGCAGCCAUCUUGUUUUGUAUCAAUUUCCUCAUGCUCAGAGACAGUCACUCACUUCAUGUAAGGGGUUCAACUAGUUGUUGAGUGGACUUGCCCAAAUCCGAGCUCCCUUUUCUCCUUUGAAUGACAAGUCUGCAUGGUCUCACCAACAGACAUUACCGCCCAUUCCCUCAAAUCUUACUUUUUUAUUUUCUAUAAAGAAAAACAAUUCUAUUACUUUAUUUUUAAUUUCUUGUUUCAUUCUUUCAUUUAAACCAAUUUUUAAAGAGAAAGAAUACAAUAAAUACAAAUCUGAAUAUUCAAUCACUUUUUCUACUUCUAUUUUCAAAAUAACUGAAAAAAAAAACCUAAUAAAAAGUUGAUUUGUAUAUAAGUGAUGUACAGUUUGUAUCUGUUAAUGUCAGUCUGUCUUUGGUGACAGAGUCUGUCUUGCUUAUAACGCACGCUACCAGUAAAUAAAAUAAAAAUAUAUUUAGACUGUACGGUCCUUGAAAGCAAGUUUUAAAUUAAUCUGAUGUAUAUUCCUGUAACAUUGCAUUUUUAUCUGAGGAAUUAUGUUAUUAAAAAAAAUUGCUAAUAAAUUGCAUUUCCUACAGCUCCUUUUUGGAUUCUCUUAUCUAUUCUAGAGGUUUGGGAGGCAUCACAAUGCAGAAGCAUAAGUCCAAUACUUGGAAUAAGUAUAGCCAACAUUUUAAACCAACUAUUUUUUUAAUGGUCCCCCCAAAAAAAUUGUAUUCCACCUGUGGUUACGAUGGUCUUUGUGUUGUCAGUGGGAGAAUUUAGAACCCUGUGUCCCUGUUCAACUGUAUUCCACCUGUGGUUACGAUGGUCUUUGUGUUGUCAGUGGGAGAAUUUAGAACCCUGUGUCCCUG
ensembl:lncRNA